UCGAGCGAAGCGAGAGAACGUUGCCGCAGGCAACGGCCCGAAGGGCGAGGCGCUUUAGCGCCGAGUAAUCCUUCCCCCACCACCA
rnacentral:sRNA from 2 species